GAGGCAGUGCCAGUGUUUGGAGUGCCACUGUGCCUGGCUGUCCAGCGCUGCCCGGCACACGAUGGCAUCCAGCUGCCCACCAUUGUCAGGGAGUGCAUUGACCAGAUAGAGGGAGUUGCCGGAGCCAGUGUUGACGUCGGACAUGAUGCCACACUUUGAGGAUGUAGCGAUGAUUCCUAACCCCGGGGAGCAUGCCGAGGCCAUGCGUCAGCUGAUCAACCGCCUGCCAACCGCCAACCGCCUGCCAACCGCCAAUAGCCUGAUGCUCCAAUACAUGUUCAAGCAUAUGGGACACAUCAUUGCAAGGGGAGUUGCCGGAGCCAGUGUUGACGUCGGACAUGAUGCCACACUUUGAGGAUGUAGCGAUGAUUCCUAACCCCGGGGAGCGCGCCGAGGCCAUGCGCCAGCUGAUCAACCGCCUGCCAACCGCCAACCGCCUGCUGCUCCAAUACAUGUUCAAGCAUAUGGGACACAUCAUUGCAAGGGUGCCUGAGGACGCCUUCCAUGGACAGCAGCAGGCGACAUCCUCCUGAGGGGCUGCUGUGUGGCGUCCAUCCUCCUUUGUAUAAAGACAAAUACACUUACC